GACGUAGGGGGCAAGCGUUGUCCGGAAUUACUGGGCGUAAAGGGCGUGUAGGCGGUGGGUCACGUAGCGGUUGGCAGCCGCCGGCUUAACCGGCGGACGGCGGCUAAACGGGCGCACUGGAGGGCAGGAGAGGUGCACGGAAUUCCUGGUGGAGCGGUGAAAUGCGUAGAGAUCAGGAAGAACACCCGUGGCGAAGGCGGUGCACUGGCCUGGCCCUGACGCUGAGGCGCGACAGCGUGGGGAGCGAACGGG
rnacentral:rRNA from 1 species